rnacentral:piRNA from 1 species
UAUAACAGUUUGUUUUAUAUAAUGUGCAA